UACGUAGGGGGCAAGCGUUGUCCGGAUUUAUUGGGCGUAAAGAGCGUGUAGGCGGUUUGGUAGGUCCGUUGUGAAAACCCGAGGCUCAACCUCGGGCCUGCAGUGGGUACGGGCAGACUAGAGUGCGGUAGGGGGAGAUUGGAAUUCCUGGUGUAGCGGUGGAAUGCGCAGAUAUCAGGAGGAACACCAAUGGCGAAGGCAGAUCUCUGGGCCGUAACUGACGCUGAGGACGAAAGCAUGGGGGAGCGAACAGG
rnacentral:rRNA from 1 species